GCCGCAUUAGCUCAGCGGUAGAGCGCGUCCUUGGUAACACCUGGUUCUUCUAGAACUGGGUCAGAGAAGCUCUAGGCUUCGAAAACAAAUAGGACGAGGCCCCGGGUUCAAAUCCCGGAUGUGGCU
rnacentral:tRNA from 1 species